GACAGAGGGUGCAAACGUUGCUCGGAAUUACUGGGCGUAAAGGGCGUGUAGGCGGGAAGGCAAGUCGGGCGUGAAAGCCCCAGGCUCAACCUGGGAACUGCACUCGAAACUGCCUUUCUUGAGUGCCGGAGAGGAAAGCGGAAUUCCUGGUGUAGGGGUGAAAUUCGUGAGGAUAUCAGGAGGAACACCAGUGGCGAAGGCGGCUUUCUGGACGGUAACUGACGCUGAGACGCGAAAGCGUGGGGAGCAAACAGG
rnacentral:rRNA from 1 species